AUGGACAGCAGGCACCUCCCUAACCUCCCCAAAUGUAUUACUCAUCUCUGAAGUAUUGAAGUUAGAGGUAACUCAAGCAGGAUACUGGUUAUGAAUGUAGAUGUUGAAGCUAUUCAAAAACACUGGAAGUCAGUCUUUACGUUUCUAGCCUUGUUUGACGUGCAUGUGGACUUUUUCAAGAAGCACUCAAUAGACAUUGGGCUGUCUAGAAUGGAUACAAGUAUUUUUAGUGGGAGUUGCUUUUUUAUUUUAGUGUCCACAGCUAUUCUAUAUUACUAGUUGCAGCUGUUAAGGAUAAGGUUGUUGGUGUAGGUGUCAGGUGUGCAAUGAAGAACAGGAAUCUUGGUUUCCUCACCAGUGUCCAAAUGCCUAUUCUUGAGGGAACAUUUUCUUGCAAAAGACUUUACAUUUUGUUUUGUAUCUUCGCACUUUUUCUUUACUACAGAAAGGUUCUGUGUUUAAGACCUACUUUGAACUUCAUGCAGUAAUGUUGGGGGAUUACAUUGUUCAAAGCAUAGGGGAAAGUACUAAAGCCUGAUUUUCCUUGAAUUUUUAAAUUUUUUUAAUCCACUUAUACCUAGUGUAAAGGUUUGCAGUGUUUUGUUUUAUUCCACACAGCUUGCAAUGUUGAGAUUUAUUAGUGCUGACAACAAAAUUUAACAAGUUAAAAAUGGCAGGCUGUUUGUAGUGACCCUGCAGAAAAAGCUGUGGUGGGAAUUUGGAACAUUUUCUCUGAAAAGAAUAUGUUAGUUGCACUGCCAUGACCUCCAUGGAGGAGGCUCACAUGCUAGUGUUGGAACAGGUAAUUGUCAGUUUGAUAACAAAAGGUUAGUGCCAGGAGAUGUUCGGUCUUUAGGGCACAGUUGUUAGACUCCAUCCAAGCUAGGAAACUGGUUUGCUCUGUUACCUUAAGCAAUAUUUUGCUUUGUUUUUAUUUUUGUUUUUUUCUCCUGGGAAAACUUUGUUUCUGUGCCAAGUAUUCUCUGCUUUUGUCAAUGUCUUAUAGUUAUGAAGGGUUAGCAUUUAGCAUACUUUGUAUUUAACCACCUGCUUCUAUGACUGAGUCUCCAAAUAACCAUGUGAUAAAGAGGUCUGUGUUACAAAAUGACUGUUAAAGGCCAUUUCUGACAGUUUGCUAGAAUACAGUGGCACCUCGGGGUUGACUUUUUUUUUUAACAGAUGGAGGAUAGUUCUUUUGUGAAAGGAAAUAAUUUGUAAUCUGCCUUAGCUGAUUUAAUGUUUUUUUUCUUACUGGCUUCCGUGUCACACGUCUUAACCAAAAAUACACAGUACCUGAAGCCAUGUUGCAGGGCACUUAGAUUCUUGGCUAAUCUUCUAAGAUUUUUCACUCUCUGGAAGUAUUCUUUCUGUACCUGUGUAACGAGGUGGAGAAGGCACAUGUGAAGGUGCUUCUUUUCCCCCAAUAUGUUUAAUGCACAGUAACAGUGUUGUUAUUGAAUUAACUAGUAAAUGGUUCUUCUAAAAAUUUUAAGUAUACGUUGAUGUAUCAUGCUUCACUUGGGAAGUUAAAGUGCAAGGUCUGAGGAAAGAAUAUUUCUAAGUCCAGUUUAAUAAAAACAGUUGUGAGCUCAAUCAGUAGCCACCCUUUAAAUUUUUUAGCAUUGAGUUACCUUUCUUGAGGUAAGGUCUUGAUGUGUACUUACAGCUGGCCUGGAACUCUGUGGACCAGGCUGGCUUCAGAUUUGUGGCAGUCCUUGUGCCUCUGCCUCUUGAAUGUUAGGAAUGCAGGUACUUAGCACUCAAAUUCUUUUACCUUCACUGGAACAUUUCUAAAAUACUAUCCAACACUCCAGGAAGUGGCCUCCUGUAAGUCACCAUAGUUUGUAUCUAAAAGCCUACAGCUUAGAAUAGAACUACCGGGGAUUUUUUUUUUUAAGUAUCAGGUUUAUGAUUUUUUUUUCAUGUCCAUGUAGAUGUCUGGAUUCAAAUCUUAAAAAAGGUUACUGACCACUCAAAAUUACAGUGAGAUACAUGGGACUUUUUGUUUUGGGUAUUUUGAGAGGGUCUUGUUUUAUCGCCCAGGCUGGCCUGGAAUUAGUGAUCCUCCUGAUGACUGGGAUUAUAGGUAUGUGUCACCCCAACCCAGCAAGGAUUUGUUUACUGAAGUCCCACAGCUGCUCUAUAAUCAUUUGGGAAAGCAGCUAGAGAUGCGCAGUGAAAGUGAACCCUGUCAUACCACUGUGCCUUGUUUUAAGGUCUUUCUCAGUUCUCAUUCUCAAGAUUGUUUCCAAUUGCAAGUUAGAGUCAAGCCAGCUAGCUGCCCAGCCUUAACUCUGUUCAGUGCCCUAUUAUUAACAUUUUUUUAACAGAUUGGUUUCUACAUGUUUAAACUGUCCAGCGUUGGAUUUUACCUCUUGCUAGUUCCAUUUGUCCCUGGUGCUGCUUUUAAAGAUAUAGGGCCCUGUGAAGUGUCCAGUGGAGUAGGUACGCAGUUGGUCUGGUUAUGGAAAAGCUGCUUUGGAAUAGAUGUUUACUUGGGUUCCUGUGCAGAACUGAGCAGCAAACCUGGAAAGCUCUGUAAAGCCCGUAAGAAAGGAUUUGAAGAGGGCUGCGCUUAAGUCUUUGAACAUGAAGCACGUGUGUGCAUGCUGUCAAAAGACUGGAGUGAUUGUCAUACCAGGGCUUCCUGACCUCCAGGAGACACUUUGAAAAGGCAACAGAGGAGCACCAAGGGAAGUGAAUUUGCUUGGCUUGCUUUGGCUGCUUACUCAUUUCCUUACCAUUAAACCUGAAAGAAACACCCUUCUCCGGUAUUGGAUCCAGCAAACUUGGUUGGGAAACCCUGUGUUGAAUUUUGAGAAUGUACCCAACUUUUUGUACAGUGCUUUACACCUGCUAAAAUUUAACUUGUUUAAUGCAGAAAGAGACCUUGAAAGGUCAGUCAUUAAAUCUGGUUUGAUUAUUAAUAGCUAUCUUUUAGGAAGAAGCAUUUUCCCUAUGUACGAUGUCAUACUGCAGACUUAAAAAUAUAGACUAUCAAUAAAAUGCAUGAAGUGAUCA